rnacentral:rRNA from 1 species
UACAUGGGGUGCAAACGUUGCUCGGAAUCAUUGGGCGUAAAGCGCGCGUAGGCGGUUACUUAAGUCGAAUGUGAAAGCCCUCGGCUUAACUGAGGAAGUGCAUCCGAAACUGAGUAGCUAGAGUACGAAAGAGGGUCGCGGAAUUCCCGGUGUAGAGGUGAAAUUCGUAGAUAUCGGGAAGAACACCUAUGGCGAAGGCAGCUCUCUGGGACGGUACUGACGCUGAGACGCGAAAGCGUGGGGAGCGAACAGG